UACGUAGGGUGCGAGCGUUGUCCGGAAUUAUUGGGCGUAAAGGGCUCGUAGGCGGUUUGUCGCGUCGGGGAGUGAAAACUCAGGGCUUAACCCUGAGCCUGCUUCCGAUACGGGCAGACUAGAGGUAUGCAGGGGGAGAACGGAAUUCCUGGUGUAGCGGUGAAAAUGCGCAGAUAUCAGGAGGAACACCGGUGGCGAAGGCGGUUCUCUGGGCAUUACCUGACGUGAGGAGCGAAAAGUGUGGGGG
rnacentral:rRNA from 1 species